UCCAACGUUAAUCGGGGCUGGGUGAGUCGACC
rnacentral:sRNA from 1 species